rnacentral:rRNA from 1 species
ACGGAGACUGCAAGCGUUAUUCGGAUUCACUGGGCGUAAAGGGUGCGCAGGCGGUUGUGUGUGUCAGGUGUGAAAUCUCGGAGCUCAACUCCGAAACUGCGCCUGAAACUACACGACUAGAGUAUCGGAGAGGUGAGCGGAAUUCAUGGUGUAGCAGUGAAAUGCGUAGAUAUCAUGAGGAACACCAGAGGCGAAGGCGGCUCACUGGACGAUUACUGACGCUCAGGCACGAAAGCAUGGGUAGCGAAAGGG